rnacentral:rRNA from 1 species
GAUGAACGCUGGCGGCGUGCCUAAUACAUGCAAGUCGAGCGAAGCGGGGACGGGUGAGUAACACGUGGAUAACCUCCUUUAAGACUGGGAUAACUUCGGGAAACCGGAACUAAACCGGCUACUUAUCGUUGGAUCCGCGCUGCAUUAGCUAGUUGGUAAGGUAACGGAUUACCCAGGCAACGAUGCAUAGCCGACCUGAGAGGGGGAUCGGCCACACUGGAACUGAGACACGGUCCAGACUCCUACGGGAGGCAGCAGUAGGGAAUCUUCCGCAAUGGGCGAAAGCCUGACGGAGCAACGCCGCGUGAGUGAUGAAGGUCUUCGGAUCGUAAAACUCUGUUAUUAGGGAAGCGGUACCUAAUCAGAAAGCCACGGCUAACUACGUGCCAGCCGCCGCGGUAAUAC